rnacentral:rRNA from 1 species
CAGUCGCCGCGGUAAAACGAAGGGUGCAAGCGUUACUCGGAAUUACUGGGCGUAGAGCGUGCGUAGGUGGUGGUUUAAGUCCGUUGUGAAAGCCCUGGGCUCAACCUGGGAAUGGCAGUGGAUACUGGCUCGCUAGAGUGUGUCAGAGGAUGGUGGAAUUCCCGGUGUAGCGGUGAAAUGCGUAGAGAUCGGGAGGAACAUCAGUGGCGAAGGCGGCCAUCUGGGACAACACUGACGCUGAGGCACGAAAGCGUGGGGAGCAAACAGGAUUAGAUACCCCAGUAGUCCCUGUCUCUUAUAC